rnacentral:rRNA from 1 species
CCCAACUUCGGUUAUAAGAUCCCUCAAAGAUGAUGAGGUUAAUAGGUUCGAGGUGGAAGCAUGGUGACAUGUGGAGCUGACGAAUACUAAUCGAUCGAAGACUUAAUCAAA